GUAGGUUAGUGGCAAACGGGUGAGUAAUGUAUAGGAAUCUACCUAACAGUACGGAACAACGUCGGGAAACUGAUGCUAAUACCGUAUAUUACCGAUUUAUCGGGAAAGAUUUAUCGCUGUUAGAUGAGCCUGUAUCAGAUUAGCUUGUUGGUGGGGUAAUGGCCUACCAAGGCGAUGAUCUGUAGCUGGUCUGAGAGGAUGAUCAGCCACACUGGGACUGCGACACGGCCCAGACUUC
rnacentral:rRNA from 1 species